CCUACGGGGGGCUGCAGUGGGGAAUAUUGGACAAUGGGCGAAAGCCUGAUCCAGCCAUGCCGCGUGUGUGAAGAAGGCCUUCGGGUUGUAAAGCACUUUCAGUGGGGAAGAAAGCCUUGGGGCUAAUACCCUCGAGGAAGGACAUCACCCACAGAAGAAGCACCGGCUAACUCCGUGCCAGCAGCCGCGGUAAUACGGAGGGUGCGAGCGUUAAUCGGAAUUACUGGGCGUAAAGCGCGCGUAGGCGGUCUGAUAAGCCGGUUGUGAAAGCCCCGGGCUCAACCUGGGAACGGCAUCCGGAACUGUCAGGCUAGAGUGCAGGAGAGGAAGGUAGAAUUCCCGGUGUAGCGGUGAAAUGCGUAGAGAGCGGGAGGAAUACCAGUGGCGAAGGCGGCCUUCUGGACUGACACUGACGCUGAGGUGCGAAAGCGUGGGUAGCAAACAGGAUUAGAUACCCGAGUAGUC
rnacentral:rRNA from 1 species